rnacentral:rRNA from 1 species
GCGGUAUGCUUAACACAUGCAAGUCGAACGGUAGCAGGCCUUCGGGCGCUGACGAGUGGCGGACGGGUGAGUAAUGCAUAGGAAUCUGCCUAUUAGUGGGGGAUAACGUGGGGAAACUCACGCUAAUACCGCAUACGACCUACGGGUGAAAGCUGGGGACCUUCGGGCCUGGCGCUAAUAGAUGAGCCUAUGUUGGAUUAGCUAGUUGGUAGGGUAAAGGCCUACCAAGGCGACGAUCCAUAGCUGGUCUGAGAGGAUGAUCAGCCACACUGGGACUGAGACACGGCCCAGACUCCUACGGGAGGCAGCAGUGGGGAAUAUUGGACAAUGGGCGAAAGCCUGAUCCAGCAAUACCGCGUGCGUGAAGAAGGCCUGAGGGUUGUAAAGUACUUUCAAUGGGAAGGAAUACCUACCGGUUAAUACCCGGUAGACUGACAUUACCCAUACAAGAAGCACCGGCUAACUCCGUGCCA